GUGAGUUGGGCACUCGCGCGAAGCUCCGUGGUGCCCGACCGAAGGACGCGUCUCGAUUUCCCUUCUCUUGUCAUCGGCUUUCUCUUGCAGUGGUCCACGUUUCCGCGCGUCAGACGGACGCUACGAGGUGUUCUCAGGGAAAUCUAGCUCUGAAAACUGACCAGACUUUGGCAGCGCCCUGCAGUGGAGAUCGUCGCUGCGUGUACACUGUAGAAAGCCGAUGUGUCACCCCUCCGGUCAUAUGGACACGCCUGAACCCACGGCGUGUCCACACCAGCAAUCGAAAGCGUUCCAUCCGCCGGUCGAUGCUUUUUGGAUGCCACUAGAACUCACAGCAAUUCUUCAUGUUCGCUUCCGUGAGACAUAUACAUACAUCUGUAGACACAUAUCGGUUUCACAUCUCUAGCACUGUUCUUGCUAUAAAGCUAUCAGCAAGCGGUUCCUUUUCCAAAAGCGAAACGACGCUCUCCUUUUACACCACGUCGUCCGCACCGACAGACAUUCAUCUGACCGUUCUGUUUGUUCGCUUCCUGCUACGUGUGUGGCUAGACAUGGCAGACGGAAGAAAAACGUGCGGCCGUGUCAACUUCUGCGACAUCUUCGGAUGCUCUGUUUACGCGGUUUUCCUGUCAACGUGACGGUGUGUGCCCCGUUCCAGGGGACAAACGGGGUCGCAGGAAAACCCCUUCCAGCCGGGAGUUCGUCUGACACGAAGAGAACCCCGACAAAACCUUUAAUUAGGAGGCGAAAGAAAAAGAGAGCCGAAAAGUGUUAGCGUGGACCCGCGAGACACGUCCUCCACGUCGCAAGGGGUGACCGAGCGCCCGCUAUUACCCGGAUUUUUGUUCCUUCUCAGACGCUCUUUUGACGAAGAAGGGGUCGGGCUGGACAUAGACGAACUCUUUUAUGUACGGGUAUGCUGCUUCGCGGAGUUCUGUUUGAUUUCCCUCCCCUUUCUUCCCCUCGUCGCUCUCGCUCCGCGUCCGCUCGGGUUUCCCGCGACAGUGCGCCGAGCACGUGUACAUACACAACAGUGCAAAGUGGAGUCGCUCGCUCGCAGCCUGCGCAGCUUCCAUUCGACUGGCACCGCCCGUUUCUUGUUCCUCCACUUCGGCGGCCUGAGUUGUCGAAGCCGCCUUACUUUUUCCCGCCGCCUCGCCUUUUGCUUGCGCAGGCCCUCCGACUGAACUCUCGGCAGCUGCCUCUCUGGCUUCCCGCUUGGCCGUUGGCUCUUCCUUCGCCUUGGAGGCUUCUCUGUUUUUGUGCGGGUCUGCAUCUCCCGUCCAGUGCACUUUGCUCUCCAGUUUCACUCCGGCACAUCUCUUCAUUUCAAAGAGAAACUGCGGCAGCACUUGGAACUCGAACUGGCGCUUGGCGCCGCACUUCUCGCAUGCAGGCGGCUCACCCUCCAUCUGACCUGGCGUGAAGGGCCACAGCGGCCUUCCCCCCAGCGCGUACCGAAGCACUUGUCCACGGUUCGCGGCGCAAGACGAACACCGUUUCAAAAAGCGAAGCAACUGAGGAUCGAGCGAGCUGUGCUCCUCGUGAAUGCUCUCGAAGGCUUCUUGUUCCGACUCAUCCAACAGAGCUUCUGAAAAUAGACAUCAGCCAGACUGCCCGGGGACCGAUUGCGCUCAAACGACUUAAAAGAAGGCAGAAAAGAGGUGUUGCAGGAUCACACAAUGCCACCGGUAACAGGGAACUUGGAGGCAACAACGAACCGUGAAGGAGGACAGAUGACACUGCCAAGCUUAGCGCUUCCGGCGCGACGCACAAGAGUACGCAUCCAGACAGAUGCCCAGACUUCCGCACAAACAAACGCAUACACAACUCCAUCUGCGAACUGCCUGCAGACGCCUGUGUAGAAAGAAGUGUAUGUCGUGGGAGCAGGAAGUCCCACACAGACUUGUGCAGCAUGUAGAGCUUUUUGAUGGGAUGCGAUCUCGGGGGAAACACCUAUCCACAUCUGCACGCGUGUACGGAUGUGCAUCUGAUCUUGUGCAUGCUUCCCCCGAGAGCGUUCUCCUUUUGCCGCAUGCGGGUGCAUUUGGUGGCUCUUCCUCGCUUUCCGGCUUCGCGCGAGAAAGCUCCCUCGCCUACCUGGGUCAGUCCUCGCCUCCUCCUCGUACUUCCUCAAGAGCUCCUUUUCGUGCUCGUAGGAAGGCCCCGCACCUUCGUCUGCGUCCUCGCCUUCUUCCUCUUCUCCGACCUCGAGUUCAAACUCCGGCAACGCACAGCACAGCCCUCGACUCCAGUGGGAGGCGAAGAUGCGGCAUCGCCGAUGGAGUCGAUACACGCCUUCUGAGGAGAAAAAUCGCACCAUCCCGCGCCGCACAUACACCUGGGUGCAUGCGGAGUUUGUACCCUUACAUUCAGGGGCAUCCUGUUGUAGUCGAUCUUGUGCGUUCACAUGCGUAUAACUCAAAUCGAACAGAGAAUGCAAACGCACUCCGAAGAUUCCCU
rnacentral:lncRNA from 1 species